CCAGACUCCUACGGGAGGCAGCAGUGGGGAAUAUUGCACAAUGGGGGAAACCCUGAUGCAGCAACGCCGCGUGAGUGAAGAAGUAUUUCGGUAUGUAAAGCUCUAUCAGCAGGGAAGAAAAUGACGGUACCUGAGUAAGAAGCCCCGGCUAACUACGUGCCAGCAGCCGCGGUAAUACGUAGGGGGCAAGCGUUAUCCGGAUUUACUGGGUGUAAAGGGGGCGUAGACGGCGAUACAAGUCUGAAGUGAAAGCCCGGGGCUCAACCCCGGGACUGCUUUGGAAACUGUUAAGCUGGAGUGCAGGAGAGGUAAGUGGAAUUCCUAGUGUAGCGGUGAAAUGCGUAGAUAUUAGGAGGAACACCAGUGGCGAAGGCGGCUUACUGGACUGUAACUGACGUUGAGGCUCGAAAGCGUGGGGAGCAAACAGGAUUAGAUACCCCGGUAUG
rnacentral:rRNA from 1 species